rnacentral:lncRNA from 1 species
GGUAAUAUAAGAAAAGGAAUUAUUUCUCCUCCAUGGUACUGCAGAUUGCAUGAUCUUGGGUUGAUUACAUAUAGUGUGUUCCCCAUUCCAUGAGCAUUGAGCUACAUACACUUCAAGCAUCCAGCAAAGUGUAGACUAUAGCAAUGAUCUAGAGGGCUGGAAAAGACUGCUAAGUAUGUCUGGGAUUAUGAGGCAAGCUGGAAAUAGAGAACACCAGACCCUCUAGUUCGAAAUCUUUGAUGGAACAUUGAGGAAAGAAGAACACCAGUGGCUUCUAGAUGUCAUCAACACCGCGUGUGGUGGUGGGAUUGGGAACCUGCCGGCGGACAACACCACUACCUACCUCCAGUUCAAGGACACGCUGAGAGAAGAACAUAAGCUUUCGAUUGGCAUCCAAACAUCAUGGUCACCAUGAGGUGCAGCGACCCGUGUUCUCUCAUCUACAUAUCCUCUGACAAGGAAAACAAAAAUGCUUCCUCCUACCACUCCUUCCAUGCAGCAUACCUUUUACGGAUAAUAGAUUUGAGAAGAAAGGUGCCUGUAUGGUGUGUUCCGAUGGGAGGCCAAAUCAGGAAAGUGCACAAUACAUGACGAAGAUGUUUGGGAUAAUCCUGCUUGUGGGUCGUUGGUGUUCAUCUGGGUCAGUCAGGAGGAGUUUAUGCAGGGAGAACGUUGUAAGAACGUUGUGCAUUGCUUGACCAUGGAGUCAAUAAUGUGUGCUGAAUGUAAUCUGCUGUUUUUGUGGCAAUGAGCUGUGUUGGGUCCACUAUUAGUUGUUGGGGUAAGUAGUAUCUCCAAUUAUAACAAUUUCUGAAACAAUCAAAAUAUCAGAGAAAAUAAAGGAGUGUGUCAUCCGAACAAAAACACAUAUAUACUUUGUUCUCGUUCUUCUUCUUCUUCUUCUUCUUCUUCUUCUUCUUCUUCUUCUUCUUCUUCUUCUUCGAGUUGUUAGUGACAUGUGUUUGCAAGAGCUAGCUCCAUGCAAGUAUACUUUUUUGAACAUAUAUUUCAAUCCAAUGGGUGGAGGCAACCAGUCCAAUUUAUCUUUUUAUUUGCUUGUUGCCACUACAUCUGAUAAUUUAUCUUUGCCCAGGGCCUGUCUUUGCCGAGGGCUCUUGUGACUAGCCCUCGGCAAAAAGUGUCUUUGCCGAGUACCCGAGAUUUGACCCUCCUCAAAGAAUGAGUUUCCAGUAGUGAUAGUAUGCCCAUGUCCACAAAUGCUACGUCUUCCUCUUGUCAAGCUCAAAACAAAAAAGUAGUUCUGCAGUGCUUUCAAUAGAUUCUAUUACGUGCUCAUGCAAUUGUUAUCUAAUAUAUUAAUCAAUGCAAAUUGCCACCCUUAUGACUAGCGCAGUUGUUGAUUGGCCCCUUUGUAUUGAUACAGAAGGUGCCCUGCUGUAUCCCCGUUAUUGAUGUGGAAGUGAUAACUAGCUAGCAAUGACGGUACUGAUAGUCCAAUAAUAUGAAAUAUUCACGGUACUGAUGACAUGGCUAUUUAUCAUUUUAUAUGAGUAAAUGCAUAGCAAUGGAAAAUCACCUAGUAAUUCCCAGCAACAGUGACCAAAAAAGGAUAGAUGGUGAUAGAAAAUUACCUAUAAGCAAUUCCCGAUAGAGGUGGUAGAAAAUGACCUCUGAUUCAUACAUGUACUAUACGUAGUGGUCUGUAUUUGCAAACAACACUAGCAGAGUAUACACUGACAGAAAAAGGAUAGAUCGAUGAUAGUAGAGUUGGAAAGCACACACCAGAUACCUAGUGUUGUCGGGGCCAACCGAGGAGCAUGCCACCACCUGAACAUGUCAUCAGAAUCCUCUUGCAU